AGGGCGAAAGGAGUACGAGGUCGUAGACCCGAAACCAGGUGAUCUACCCAUGUCCAGGGUGAAGUUCAGGUAACACUGAAUGGAGGCCCGAACCCACGCACGUUGAAAAGUGCGGGGAUGAGGUGUGGGUAGGGGUGAAAUGCCAAUCGAACUUGGAGAUAGCUGGUUCUCUCCGAAAUAGCUUUAGGGCUAGCCUCAAGGUGAGAGUCUUGGAGGUAGAGCACUGAUUGGACUAGGGGCCCUCAUCGGGUUACCGAAUUCAGUCAAACUCCGAAUGCCAAAGACUUAUCCUUGGGAGUCAGACUACGAGUGAUAAGAUCCGUGGUCGAAAGGGAAACAGCCCAGACCGCCAGCUAAGGUCCCCAAGUAUACGUUAAGUGGAAAAGGAUGUGGAGUUGCUUAGACAACCAGGAUGUUGGCUUAGAAGCAGCCACCAUUUAAAGAGUGCGUAAUAGCUCACUGGUCGAGUGACUCUGCGCCGAAAAUGUACCGGGGCUAAACGUAUCACCGAAGCUGCGGACUGUUCUUCGAACAGUGGUAGGAGAGCGUUCUAAGGGCGUCGAAGCUAGACCGUGAGGACUAGUGGAGCGCUUAGAAGUGAGAAUGCCGGUAUGAGUAGCGAAAGAGGGGUGGGAAUCCCCUCCACCGAAUGCCUAAGGUUUCCUGAGGAAGGCUCGUCCGCUCAGGGUUAGUCGGGACCUAAGCCGAGGCCGAAAGGCGUAGGCGAUGGAGAACAGGUUGAUAUUCCUGUACCACCUCCUCACCGUUUGAGCGAUGGGGGGACGCAGGAGGAUAGGGUAAGCGCGGCGCUGGUUGACCGCGUCCAAGCAGUUAGGCUGAUAAGCAGGCAAAUCCGCUUAUCAUGAGGCUGAGCUGUGAUGGCGAGGGAAAUAGAGUACCGAAGUUCCUGAUUCCACACUGCCAAGAAAAGCCUCUAGCGAGGUGAGAGGUGCCCGUACCGCAAACCGACACAGGUAGGCGAGGAGAGAAUCCUAAGGUGAGCGAGAGAACCCUCGUUAAGGAACUCGGCAAAAUGACCCCGUAACUUCGGGAGAAGGGGUGCUCUGGUAGGGUGAUAAGCCCGAGAGAGCCGCAGUGAAUAGGCCCAGGCGACUGUUUAGCAAAAACACAGGUCUCUGCGAAACCGAAAGGUGAAGUAUAGGGGCUGACGC
rnacentral:rRNA from 1 species